UCCCCUACGGGUGGCAGCAGUAGGGAAUAUUGGGCAAUGGGCGAAAGCCUGACCCAGCAACGCCGCGUGUACGAUGAAGGUCUUCGGAUCGUAAAGUACUUUUCUGGGAGAUGAGAAAGGACAGUAUCCCAGGAAUAAGCCUCGGCUAACUACGUGCCAGCAGCCGCGGUAAAACGUAGGAGGCAAGCGUUAUCCGGAUUUACUGGGCGUAAAGCGCGUGCAGGCGGUUCGGCAAGUUGGAUGUGAAAGCUCCUGGCUCAACUAGGAGAGGUCGUUCAAUACUACCGAACUUGAGGGCAUCAGAGGAAGGUGGAAUUCCCGGUGUAGUGGUGAAAUGCGUAGAUAUCGGGAGGAACACCAGUGGCGAAAGCGACCUUCUGGGAUGUUCCUGACGCUCAGACGCGAAGGCUAGGGUAGCAAACGGGAUUAGAUACCCCAGUAGUCUCC
rnacentral:rRNA from 1 species